rnacentral:misc_RNA from 1 species
GAUGAAGAACGUAGCGAAAUGCGAUAAGUAAUGUGAAUUGCAGAAUUUAGUGAAUCAUCGAAUCUUUGAACGCAUAUUGCGCCCGCCAGCACUCUGGCGGGCAUGCCUGUUCGAGCGUCAUUUCAACCCUCAGGCCUCGCGUCUGGCGUUGGGGCACUGCGGCCCUUCCUCAGGCCCCCAAAUCUAGCGGCGGAUCCGCCGCGGCCCUGAGCGCAGUAGAGAGUAAAAACUUUAACGCUCCGGCGGCCGUGGCGCGGUUCUGCCUCUCGCCCAAUAGCGCCAAUAGCGCCACCCCCAAAAAGUUGACCUCGGAUCAGGUAGGACUACCCGCUGAACUUAAGCAUAUCAAUAAGCGGAGGA